GAUGAAGAACGCAGCGAAAUGCGAUAAGUAAUGCGAAUUGCAGAAUUCCAGUGAGUCAUCGAAUCUUUGAACGCACAUUGCGCCCUUUGGUAUUCCGAAGGGCAUGCCUGUUCGAGCGUCAUUAUCACCCCUCAAGCCCUCGGCUUGGUGUUGGACGGUUUGGUGGAGGCCCCCUCGGGGGCUCCUGCCCCUCCCAAAGACAAUGACGGCGGCCUCGUUGGACCCCCGGUACACUGAGUUCUUCACGGGACACGUAUCGGACACAUGGGUUUACGGGACACGGUCUGCCUCCCCUCAGGGAGAAUCUUUCUAAGGUUGACCUCGGAUCAGGUAGGGAUACCCGCUGAACUUAAGCAUAUCAUAGCGGAGGA
rnacentral:misc_RNA from 1 species